UUAUGCCUACGGGGGGCAGCAGUGAGGAAUAUUGGUCAAUGGGCGAGAGCCUGAACCAGCCAAGUCGCGUGAAGGAUGACGGCCCUACGGGUUGUAAACUUCUUUUGUCAGGGAGCAAUUGGGUCCACGCGUGGGCUUAGCGAGAGUACCUGAAGAAAAAGCAUCGGCUAACUCCGUGCCAGCAGCCGCGGUAAUACGGAGGAUGCGAGCGUUAUCCGGAUUUAUUGGGUUUAAAGGGUGCGUAGGCGGGCUGUUAAGUCAGCGGUCAAAUGUCGGGACUCAACCCCGGCCUGCCGUUGAAACUG
rnacentral:rRNA from 1 species